CCUACGGGGGACAGCAGUGAGGAAUAUUGGUCAAUGGGCGGGAGCCUGAACCAGCCAAGCCGCGUGAGGGAAGAAGGUACAGCGUAUCGUAAACCUCUUUUGUCAGGGAACAAAAGCGCGGACUAGUCCCCGGCUGAGGGUACCUGAAGAAAAAGCAUCGGCUAACUCCGUGCCAGCAGCCGCGGUAAUACGGAGGAUGCGAGCGUUAUCCGGAUUUAUUGGGUUUAAAGGGUGCGCAGGCGGCCUGUUAAGUCAGCGGUAAAAGCCCGGGGCUCAACCCCGGCGAGCCGUUGAAACUGGCGGGCUUGAGUGGGAGAGAAGUACGCGGAAUGCGCGGUGUAGCGGUGAAAUGCUUAGAUAUCGCGCAGAACCCCGAUUGCGAAGGCAGCGUACCGGCUCCACACUGACGCUGAGGCACGAAAGCGUGGGUAUCGAACAGGAUUAGAUACCCUGGUAGUC
rnacentral:rRNA from 1 species